GGUCGCAUAGCUCAGACGGUUAGAGCGCUACGCUCACAUCGUAGAGGCCCUUGGUUCAAGUCCAAGUGCGACCACCA
rnacentral:tRNA from 1 species